rnacentral:rRNA from 1 species
GCUUAGAAGUGAGAAUGCCGGUAUGAGUAGCGAAAGACGGGUGAGAAUCCCGUCCACCGAAUGCCUAAGGUUUCCUGAGGAAGGCUCGUCCGCUCAGGGUUAGUCAGGACCUAAGCCGAGGCCGACAGGCGUAGGCGAUGGACAACAGGUUGAUAUUCCUGUACCACCUCUUUAUCGUUUGAGCAAUGGAGGGACGCAGAAGGAUAGAAGAAGCGUGCGAUUGGUUGUGCACGUCCAAGCAGUUAGGCUGAUAAGUAGGCAAAUCCGCUUAUCGUGAAGGCUGAGCUGUGAUGGGGAAGCUCCUUAUGGAGCGAAGUCUUUGA